GACCUCGUAGCUCAGUUGGUAGAGCAACAGACUUUUAAUCCGUAGGUCCUGGGUUCGAGUCCCAGCGAGGUCA
rnacentral:tRNA from 4 species